UGGAGAGUUUGAGACAGACACAAGAAAGAAUAUCUCCACACAGUGAAAUUGUGGAAUCUUCUCCCACAAGAGCUAGCGACUAAAGGGGUGUUAGACAAAUUCAUAGAUGAUAAGGCUAUCAAUGCCUAAUAGCCAUAAUAUUCUACCUGAACUGUCAGAGGCAGCAUGUGUCUGAAUACUAUUUGCUGGGAAUUGCAACAAAUUCUGAUGAGGGCUUUUUCGAAGAAAAAAUGCAAACAAUGCACAACUGAAGAUGUGGAAAAAGUAAGAAACCGAGCAGAAAGUGGACAGGUUUGUCCAUUCCUAUGUCAGACUAGCAUUUAUAAGUACCUAGAUAAGCACACCAGCUCUCACAGAAAUAUCCCCUAAAGUCUGAUCAGCUAGAAUUCUUUCUUUGUACAUAUGAAAUUUUUCAGGACUCCUUUUUUUUUUUUAGCAUCCAGGCUUUCUGGUCGCUUCCAGUAGAAUAGCACCCAACCUAUUUGAUGAAUAAGGAGGAGAAAACAUGGAAGGAAUGAACCCACUACAUUUUAUUGACAUUGUUUUCUGCUCCCUUUCCCAUAAGAAACCUGUCAAAGUCUUCUACAACUUCAGGUGAAGGAACCUCCUCAGAUCCCCAGCAAUAAAAGUGAAUGGAAUAUCCUCAUGAUUAAAAUUUCAUGGUGG